UCGGACAAGAAGACCAAAAAAUUACCCCUUCAAAUUUCAUCCCAAAAAUUAUAAAUUUCUAGUAUUCUUACUAAGUCAAGGGUGCUCUACAACAUGGUGUAGUUUUUUGGGAAGUUUGGAGGUUUGUUUCAUUGAUUUGGAAGUGAAGAAGUAGAAGGAAAAGAUUUUGGAGAAAACGGAAAUUGAACUUGGACAACCGUAAAAGGCCAAAAAGGUACCGAAGUUCGAUUUGCUGAUCCACCUGUUUAGGAUAUUUGCUGCGUCGUUGACAGUGCUCCCUUAUUCGGAGCUUGUAUUUUGCUACUGACUUUAUCUCUAUAUAUUUGGAUAUGUUGGUCAGGGGUACGACGGGGCCUUGUCCCGUCAUAUGACUAUGCUAUCAUCUGUAGAGGUCUGUAGACAGAGUUAUGUUGUGGGUUUUGUAUAUAUGGUUUGGAUUUUUGUGUGUUUUGUGAUAA